UUGAAAGGGAAACGAUUGAAGUCAGUCGUACCUGCGGACAAUCAGCCUUUCGGGUGCGAUUAUGUGGAGCGUGGGGAGCUAAACACCUUCAUGCCUGCGUAUUUGUAUUCUGGGGUGUACUUGGACGUGCGGUAGGUUAACAUCAAUUUCGGACGUCAUAAAAUGGCUGGAGGAAUGUAGCUUCGGUCUCGUACUGAAGUGUUAUAGCCUUCGGCAGAUAUGGUGACCGGGAUUGAGGAUUGCAACGGAUACCUUUUGGACUACCCGCCUGAUCUCUGAAAGUUGCUCUGGUGCCGAAAGCUUGCUUACGGUUAUCAAAGUUGACGUUCAAAAGGUUAGAACGGGUUAAAUUCGUUAAGGAUGUUGACGUA
rnacentral:rRNA from 1 species